rnacentral:rRNA from 1 species
GUCGAGAAUCUUCCGCAAUGGGCGAAAGCCUGACGGAGCAAUGCCGCGUGAGGGAUGAAGGCCUUCGGGUUGUAAACCUCUGUCGCCCGGGACGAAACCAUGACGGUACCGGGAGAGGAAGCUACGGCUAACUACGUGCCAGCAGCCGCGGUAAUACGUAGGUAGCAAGCGUUAUUCGGAUUUACUGGGCGUAAAGGGUCCGCAGGGGGUCUGCCAAGUCCGGCGUGAAAGCCCACGGCUCAACUGUGGAACGGCGCUGGAAACUGGCGGGCUGGAGUGCAUGAGGGGUGAGCGGAAUUCCUGGUGUAGCGGUGGAAUGCGCAGAUAUCAGGAGGAACACCGAUGGCGAAGGCGGCUCACUGGCGUGCAACUGACCCUCAGGGACGAAAGCGUGGGGAGCAAACAGGAUUAGAUACCCGAGUAGUCC